rnacentral:tRNA from 1 species
GCGGGGAUAGCUCAAUCUGACAGAGCGUCCCGGAACCACCGGGAAGGUUGCAGGUUUAAAUCCUGUUCCCCGCU